rnacentral:rRNA from 1 species
GAUGAACGCUGGCGGCGUGCCUAAUACAUGCAAGUCGAGCGAACAGACGAGGAGCUUGCUCCUCUGACGUUAGCGGCGGACGGGUGAGUAACACGUGGAUAACCUACCUAUAAGACUGGGAUAACUUCGGGAAACCGUAGCUAAUACCGGAUAAUAUAUUGAACCGCAUGGUUCAAUAGUGAAAGACGGUUUUGCUGUCACUUAUAGAUGGAUCCGCGCCGCAUUAGCUAGUUGGUAAGGUAACGGCUUACCAAGGCAACGAUGCGUAGCCGACCUGAGAGGGGGAUAGGCCACACUGGAACGGAGACACGGUCCAGACUCCUACGGGAGGCAGCAGUAGGGAAUAUUCCGCAAUGGGCGAAAGCCUGACGGAGCAACGCCGCGUGAGUGAUGAAGGUCUUCGGAUCGUAAAACUCUGUUAUUAGGGAAGAACAAAUGUGUAAGUAACUAUGCACGUCUUGACGGUACCUAAUCAGAAAGCCACGGCUAACUACGUG